UGCAGAUUAUUUUAAAUAAUUAAAACAUAAUGUUAAAAAUUUUCUGAAGGUAUCCUUUAAGAUAUGGACUCUUGAAAUAAUUCAGGGUUGUAUAGUGCUGAAGGAUUAUUGCGAGCAACUCAGAAUGCUUCUGGGGGCAGUAUUACCAUCUGCCACAUAAUGUGUUUAAGUCUUCCCAGAAAUAUAACCUUGUGUUUUAGGAGGAGGUUCAGGCAAAUGUUAGUCUCCUACAAGGCCUACCUUAUAUAAAGGUAAAGGAGAGAUACUGACAACAUGCUGUGAAGGAUAAGGGGAGGGGCAUCUUCUAGGUACUCAGAGAAGCAGGGAGCUUUGGGAAACUACUCAAAAACUGCUGUGAGCUUUGACUAUCUGUGUGUUUUGACUUUAGGAGAGAUGUUGAAACUUGUAAUUUUGAGAUCUUUAAUACUAGGUUAUUUGCCAUCUCUGUUUCUUCUUCAGGUUAUCGAAUGUAAAAGGAAAAAAAAGCUUCAGUUUGAGGUUUUUUUCCUUUUUGGUGGUUUGGUUUCUUGAUGAAACAAAAUGUGUCCUACAUGCAGAUGAAUGAUACCUGUACCUGUACUGUAUAUACACGUGAAUGAAAAUUACUCAUGUGCUGUACAUACACACAAGAGAUACAUAUACACAUGCUGUACCAAUGUGCAAAAGGCGUAUAUGCAUGUGCCGUGAGUACACAGAAAAGAUACAUCUACAUGUACUGUGUAUAUUUGAAAGAGAACAUAUAUGUGUGCUGUGUAUACAUAUGAAAAGCACAUCUGGAAGGAGACUGAAGUGAAAUGACUUAAAUAGUAUCUGAAUUAUACAAUACAGCAUACAGUUCUAUACCAUUUUUGUUUGUCAUUCCAAGUUGUGUUUAUUGUUUUUAAAAGAGUGGUUUUCACCUUCUGUAUUGCUAUUCAGAAGUUAAAGCUCUGAGGCAGUUUGAAUAGGAUUCAGAUUUAAAGUAGAAUCCUUAUAUUGUUACUCUUACUACUAUUAUUACUAAAAUUAGAUUGCCACUUUAAAUACUCAUAUAGAA